GAAGGUAUAGCUCAGUGGGAGUGUGCAUGCCUACUAUGCACGGGGUCGUGGGUUCAAUUCCCAGUGCCUCCA
rnacentral:tRNA from 1 species